GUGUCAGCAGCCGCGGUAAUACAGAGGUGGCAAGCGUUGUUCGGAAUUACUGGGCGUAAAGGGCGCGUAGGCGGUCCGAUAAGUCCCGUGUGAAAUCCCUCGGCUCAACUGAGGAACCGCACGGGAAACUGCCGGGCUUGAGUUCGGGAGAGGGAAGCGGAAUUCCGGGUGUAGCGGUGAAAUGCGUAGAUAUCCGGAGGAACACCGGUGGCGAAGGCGGCUUCCUGGACCGACACUGACGCUGAGGCGCGAAAGCUAGGGGAGCAAACGGGAUUAGAAACCCGAGUAGUCC
rnacentral:rRNA from 1 species